rnacentral:rRNA from 1 species
AACGAACGCUGGCGGCGCGCCUAAUACAUGCAAGUCGAGCGAGAAGACGUAGCAAUACGUUUGUAAAGCGGCGAACGGGUGAGGAAUACAUGGGUAACCUACCCUCGAGUGGGGAAUAACCAGCCGAAAGAUUGGCUAAUACCGCAUACGCUUCCGGGACUGCGGUUCCGGAAAGAAAGCGAUACCGUGGGUAUCGCGCUCCUGGAUGGGCUCAUGUCCUAUCAGCUUGUUGGUGAGGUAACGGCUCACCAAGGCUUCGACGGGUAGCUGGUCUGAGAGGACGAUCAGCCACACUGGAACUGCGACACGGGCCAGACUCCUACGGGAGGCAGCAGUAAGGAAUAUUGCGCAAUGGGCGAAAGCCUGACGCAGCGACGCCGCGUGGGGGAUGAAGGUCUUCGGAUUGUAAACCCCUUUCGGGAGGGAAGAUGGGAUAGGGUAACCUAUUCGGACGGUACCUCCAGAAGCAGCCACGGCUAACUUCGUGCCAGCAGCCGCGGUAAAAC